rnacentral:rRNA from 1 species
GAUGAACGCUAGCUACAGGCUUAACACAUGCAAGUCGAGGGGCAUCAUGGAGUCAGCUUGCUGACUUUGAUGGCGACCGGCGCACGGGUGAGUAACGCGUAUCCAACCUUCCCCUUACUAGGGAAUAGCCCGGCGAAAGUCGGAUUAAUGCCCUAUGUUCUCCUUUGCGGGCAUCUAACGAGGAGCAAAGAUUCAUCGGUAAGGGAUGGGGAUGCGUCUGAUUAGGCAGUCGGCGGGGUAACGGCCCACCGAGCCGACGAUCAGUAGGGGUUCUGAGAGGAAGGUCCCCCACAUUGGUACUGAGACACGGACCAAACUCC